UUUUCCACGAUAUACUCUUUGGUGGUUUUUAGAUUUGAAAGUUUUGAGUAAUGUUUAGAAAAUUUUGGUGUAGGUGGUUAAUGUUUCAAAUGCCUCUGAUGAAUGUAUUGAAGGUGGUGGCUCUAAGUUUUUUUUGAAUGAUUUCUUAGCAUGUUUCUCACUGUUAUGUGUUCCUCCUCCCCCUUUUUGAUUUGCCCAACUAUGUUCUUAUAUCUUGAUGAAGAUAGGGUAUGCUGAGGGAUUUCAUUCUUUGUCUUUGUAAAGAUGGUAAUGGAUUUGAUUAACUUUACAA
rnacentral:lncRNA from 1 species